AUUGAACGCUGGCGGCAGGCCUAACACAUGCAAGUCGAGCGGAGCGGCGGAAGGGGGAGUAAUGCAUAGGAAUCUGACUGGUAGUGGGGGAUAACGUCCGGAAACGGGCGCUAAUACCGCAUACUAGAAGAUGAGCCUAGGUCGGAUUGGCUAGGUGGUGGGGUAAAGGCCGACCAAGGCGACGAUCCGUAACUGGUCUGAGAGGAUUAUCAGUCACAUUAGAACGAAGCCACGGUCCAGACCCCUACGGGAGGCAGCAGUGGGGAUUAUUGGACAAUGGGCGAAAGCCUGAUCCAGCCAUGCCGCGUGUUUGAAGAAGUUCUUCGGAUUGUAAAGCACUUUAAGUUGGAGGGCGUUAACAACAGAAUAGGGACCAGCUAACUUCGUGCAAGCAGCGGCGGUAAUAC
rnacentral:rRNA from 1 species